GACUACGACUUAUAAGGGCCGUAGUCAAAAGGGAAACAGCCCAGACCAUCAGCUAAGGUCCCCAAUGCCGUGCUAAGUGGAGAAGGAUGUGGCAUUUCAUAAACAACCAGGAUGUUGGCUCAGAAGCAGCCACCAUUUAAAGAGUGCGUAAUAGCUCACUGGUCGAGAGACGCUGCGCCGAAAAUGUCCGGGGCUCAAGCACGGAACCGAAGCUAUGGCAGACGCAAGUCUGGGUAGGGGAGCGUUCUUAUGAGGAAGAAGCAUGACCGUAAGGACAUGUGGACACAUAAGAAGUGAGAAUGCCGGUAUGAGUAUCGAAAAGAAAGGUGAGAAUCCUUUCCACCGAAAGCCCGAGGGUUCCUGAGCAACGAUCGUCGACUCAGGGUAAGUCGGGACCUAAGCCGAGGCGAAAAGCAUAGGCGAUGGACAACAGGUUGAAAUUCCUGUACCGGAUAAAGUCGUUACGAGCAAUGGAGUGACGCAGGAGGGUACAUGAUCGCGCGACUGGAAGAGCGCGUCCAAGUGAGUAUGUAGAUACAGAGGCAAAUCCCUGUAUCUGAAAGCAGAGACAUGAUGGGGAGUUAAAGGAAACUUUGACGAACUGAUGGAUCCCACACUGCCAAGAAAAACUUCUAGCCAGACAAUAUCCGCCCGUACCGUAAACCGACACAGGUAGGCGGGGAGAGAAUCCUAAGGUGCGCGGGAAAACCCUCGUUAAGGAACUCGGCAAAUUGCAUCCGUAACUUCGGGAGAAGGAUGACCCUGAGUAAAAGAAGAGCAGAAACGCUUAGAGGAGAAAAGGGUGGCAGAAAAGAGGCCCAAGCAACUGUUUACCAAAAACACAGGUGCCUGCGAAAGCGAAAGCUGAAGUAUAGGUGCUGACGCCUGCCCGGUGCCGGAAGGUUAAGGAGAGAGGUCAGCUAAGGCGAAGCUUCGAACUGAAGCCCCGGUGAACGGCGGCCGUAACUAUAACGGUCCUAAGGUAGCGAAAUUCCUUGUCGGGUAAGUUCCGACCCGCAUGAAAGGCGUAAUGAUUUGGGCACUGUCUCAACGAGGGGCCCGGUGAAAUUGAAAUACCUGUGAAGAUGCAGGUUACCCGCGACUGGACAGAAAGACCCCAUGGAGCUUCACUGCAGCUUGAGAUUGAAUCCCGGUGACAGACGCACAGGAUAGGUGGGAGACUUUGAAGUACCUUUUUCGGAAGAUACAGAGUCGAUGUUGGGAUACCACCCUUCUGUUGCUGGGCUUCUAACGCAAGGAGUAACGACCCUGCGGACCCUCUCAGGUAGGCGGUUUGACUGGGGCGGUCGCCUCCGAAAGAGUAACGGAGGCGCCCAAAGGUUCCCUCAGGCCGGACAGAAACCGGCCAAAGAGUGCAAAGGCAGAAGGGAGCUUGACUGCGAGACCCACAAGUCGAGCAGAGACGAAAGUCGGGCUUAGUGAUCCGGUGGUACUGAGUGGAAAGGCCAUCGCUCAACGGAUAAAAGCUACCCUGGGGAUAACAGGCUAAUCCCUCCCACGAGUUCAUAACGACGGGGAGGUUUGGCACCUCGAUGUCGGCUCAUCACAUCCUGGGGCUGG
rnacentral:rRNA from 1 species